AACCCCGAUGGCGAAGGCAGGUCUCUGGGCAUUAACUGACGCUGAGGAGCGAAAGCAUGGGGAGCGAACAGGAUUAGAUACCCUGGUAGUCCAUGCCGUAAACGUUGGGCACUAGGUGUGGGGGACAUUCCACGUUUUCCGCGCCGUAGCUAACGCAUUAAGUGCCCCGCCUGGGGAGUACGGCCGCAAGGCUAAAACUCAAAGGAAUUGACGGGGGCCCGCACAAGCGGCGGAGCAUGCGGAUUAAUUCGAUGCAACGCGAAGAACCUUACCAAGGCUUGACAUGGGCCGGAUCGCCGCAGAGAUGUGGUUUCUCCUUUUGGGGCCGGUUCACAGGUGGUGCAUGGUUGUCGUCAGCUCGUGUCGUGAGAUGUUGGGUUAAGUCCCGCAACGAGCGCAACCCUCGUUCCAUGUUGCCAGCACGUAGUGGUGGGGACUCAUGGGAGACUGCCGGGGUCAACUCGGAGGAAGGUGGGGACGACGUCAAAUCAUCAUGCCCCUUAUGUCUUGGGCUUCACGCAUGCUACAAUGGCCGGUACAAAGGGUUGCGAUACUGUGAGGUGGAGCUAAUCCCAAAAAGCCGGUCUCAGUUCGGAUUGGGGUCUGCAACUCGACCCCAUGAAGUCGGAGUCGCUAGUAAUCGCAGAUCAGCAACGCUGCGGUGAAUACGUUCCCGGGCCUUGUACACACCGCCCGUCAAGUCACGAAAGUUGGUAACACCCGAAGCCGGUGGCCUAACCCCUUUGUGGGAGGGAGCCGUCGAAGGUGGACGCAGUCACAGAAAAAAAAAAGGCCC
rnacentral:rRNA from 1 species